rnacentral:rRNA from 1 species
CGUCUCCUACGGGAGGCAGCAGUGGGGAAUAUUGCACAAUGGGCGAAAGCCUGAUGCAGCGGCGCCGCGUGAAGGAUGAAGCAUUUCGGUAUGUAAACUUCUAUCAGCAGGGAAGAAAAUGACGGUACCUGACUAAGAAGCCCCGGCUAACUACGUGCCAGCAGCCGCGGUAAUACGUAGGGGGCAAGCGUUAUCCGGAUUUGCUGGGUGUAAAGGGAGCGUAGACGGCGAUGCAAGCCAGAUGUGAAAGCCCGGGGAUCAACCCCGGGACUGCAUUUGGAACUGUGUGGCUGGAGUGUCGGAAG